UAACGAGGAUGCCGCCCAAGCGAUCGC
rnacentral:piRNA from 1 species